AUUUGAUGGCUUGCGCGUGACAGCACGAGCCGAAUUUAUUGCCCGUGGAAGUACCCACGAUAGGAAUACACUGUUGGGAACAUGGUGGCGCCGCUGACGGUACCUAUGUAAGUGGAAUUACUUUAUUGGAAGUACCCACGACGGGGAAAAUAGUCUCUCUAGUAUUGUCGGUGAAUGGUGAUGGUGGUGGUGGCGAUGGCUACUUUCCUCUGCUCAGAGAGAACCCCUGCAUGUCCUUCGUCGUGAUGCGAAAGAGCAGUGGAUGCAGAAAAUGUCUCUACCUGCCAGGAUGGUAUAAGAGCACGAACUGAAUCACCUGUUGGUGCAGAAGGCUUGGAGGACUGCUUUUGAAACAGUUGUUCAAAUUUCCUGCACCUCUUCGUAGCCGUUGUCUGAUUGCUGCAUUCUGGGGAGACUGAAGUUAAGAAGCCCUCACCGAAACCAACACUACGUUGCUGUGUUGUUUUCUUCCAAGGUCGGGCACAGUAAAGGAGACGACUCUGUAUCAAGGCACUACCCAGAGGGAGGAUGUUGGCCUUCUCCUGAUGGGAAAAUGUCUUCUUUCUCAUGGCGUGGCCAGGACUGCACUGACCCUACCAUCCACUCUACCUCUCCGGAAAGGGACUUGACAACCAGUCAAGAUGGAUGUGCAGAGAUAUACCAGCGCUUCUAGCAUUAACUGCCAAUUUGCACUGACGCAGCAAGACUCCCAACAGUCAAAAAGAAUAAUAUAGACGUGCAGAAAAUGUAGGAGAGCGAUGACAUCAGAAGGACACUCUCAGGUUCAGGGUACCUGUACUGCCCCAAUAAAUUGGGUCAGAUCCCAAAACGAGGUUGGCCGAAGCAAAAAAAAUAGAAGAGCCUGCCUUGAAUUGAAUAUGAGGAAGAAGAAGAAGACAAAGAAAGAAAAAGAAUAGGAAUUUGCUUGUGUAAACUUUGUUUCCUCUGUCUAGGCUGCCAUCGCAUUAUAGCAGCCAACAGUGUGUGUGUGUGUGUGUGUGUGUGUGUGUGCGUGCGCGCGCGCGCGUGCGUGCGUGCGUGCGUGUGCGUGCGCGUGCGUAUGUGUGCAUAUGUGUGCAUAUGUGUGCAUAUGUGUGCAUAUGUGUGUGUGUGUUUGCGUCUGUGUGCACACGCUUGUGUGUGUGUGUGUUUGCAUGUGUGUAUAUUCUGCUAAUCUUGACUUAAAUUUCCACAUCUGGGCAUAUUGUGUUCUGCAUGUGAAUUUAUCUUCAUUAACUUGUGCACUACGUUCCUUUCUUCACGUUACGGCACUUUAGUAUCGUUUUACUUGAACAUCAUACUCUCGCCCAACUUUGUUUCACCAACAAAGGUUUAUUCUCCAAAGUA